GCACUACUGAACAGUCCCACAACAGAACGAAACGGCCGUCUAGCGC
rnacentral:hammerhead_ribozyme from 1 species